CGGAAAGUGACGUGGAGUGGGUCGGUCCCUGAGGAGAGUAACGCGGGAACGUAGGACUUCUCCGCGGGUGGAGUGGGGUUCCCGCCUGGGCCGGGGCAGGGGCCGGGGUAGGGGCCGGGGCCGCAGGCCGGCGCUCCUCACGGCCGCGCCCCAGCGCCUCAGGCCGGGCCGCUCGGGCCUCGUUCCUGUGUGCUCGGGCGGCGCCGGUCGGCUGAGCACACAUCGGGCCCGCCUCGGAGGCGGACCCCAGUCUGCGCGUCAGUCCGAAGCGAAACGCAAAAUUUGCAGGAUACUUUUUCACAGUGUUUUAAAGUUAUCAUAACCGGGCCGGGGAUUUGACUCAGUGGUUUUGCCGCCUGCUGUGCAAGCAAAAGACCCGAGUUCGAUCCCCGGUACCAAAAAAAAAAAAAAAGUUAUCAUAACCAACCAGGCGGCAAGUGGUUUGAAAUCAAUCAGAACUUUUUAAAAUUAACUUAGUCCUAGCCCAAAGAUACCAGCCAAUGACACUGAUUCCACCUCGGAUCACAGUGGAACUGGUUAGAUCCGGGCAGAUCUGAGGCAGAUACUGUGUUGCACAAUUGUAAUCCCAGCACUCGGGAGACUGAAGCAGGAGAAUCACCUUCAAAGGCAGCCCAGACCACAUAGACCAAGGAAGGAAGGAAGGAAGGAAGGAAGAAGCAGAAGAAAGGGAGGAAGGAAGGAAGGGCCAAGAUACCUGGAUUCAGCCAUAGAAUGGUGUGGAUGCCUGCAGGUGGAGACCACAGGAGUGCACUGCCCCACCCCACCCUACUCACACUGAGGCUGCCACUCCAGCGCCAAGGGCCAGUCACCAUGCUGGAUGCUCAACCUUCACUCCCCACUCCUGGGCCGAGGUUGCAUCACUGUAGCGUCCCCCAGGUCCUGUGUGUAAAGUCUGCACAGUGACUGCCAUGUGGUCAGGCACAGCUUGGCACGCCAGCCUUCACACCAAAUCCAGUCUGAUGCGUUUCUGUAAGCUAUAUGCUGCAACAGAGCAAGCACAUUUGUUUGCUAUUGUUCAUGCCUGGUUUUGUACUAUAGUGGCAGAAUUGAGGAGUCAUGAUGUAGACUACAUGGUCCACAAAGGCAAAAGUGUUUUGUAUCUGAUCCUUUACCUGGACUAGAGGACACCAACAAAAGUUUGAUGCCAGGGCUGGGAAUUUAGCUCCAUGGCACAGUGCCUGCCUGGCGAGCACAAGGUCCUGAGUUCAAGUCCCGGGACAGGAAAAAAAAAAGUUUGAUGCCAGGCAUGGUGGU